rnacentral:rRNA from 1 species
AUUGAACGCUGGCGGCAUGCCUUACACAUGCAAGUCGAACGGCAGCACGGGUGCUUGCACCUGGUGGCGAGUGGCGAACGGGUGAGUAAUACAUCGGAACACGUCCUGUAGCUGGGGAUAGUCCGGCGAAAGCCGGAUUUAUUCCGCAUACGAUCUACGGAUUAAAGGGGGGGACCGACGGGCUUCGGGCUUGGGGGUAGGUCGAUAGCUGAUUAGCUAGUGGGUGGGGAAAAGGCCUACCAAGGCGACGAUCAGUGGCUGCUCUGAGGGGACGACCAGCGACACUGGGACUGAGACACGGCCAAGACGCCUACGGGAGGCAGCAGUGGGGAAUUUUGGACAAUGGGCGAAAGCAUGAUCCAGCAAUGCCGCGUGUGUGAAGAAGGCCUUCGGGUUGUAAAGCACUUUUGUCGGGAAAGAAAUCCUUGGCUCUAAUACGGUCGGGGGAUGACGGUACCUGAAGAAUAAGCACCGGCUAACUACGUG